rnacentral:rRNA from 1 species
UACGUAGGUGGCAAGCGUUAUCCGGAAUUAUUGGGCGUAAAGCGCGCGCAGGUGGUUUCUUAAGUCUGAUGUGAAAGCCCACGGCUCAACCGUGGAGGGUCAUUGGAAACUGGGAGACUUGAGUGCAGAAGAGGAAAGUGGAAUUCCAUGUGUAGCGGUGAAAUGCGUAGAGAUAUGGAGGAACACCAGUGGCGAAGGCGACUUUCUGGUCUGUAACUGACACUGAGGAGCGAAAGCAUGGGGAGCGAACAGG